GACGAACGCUGGCGGCGUGCUUAACACAUGCAAGUCGAACGAAGAGCGACGGAAGCUUGCUUCUAUCAAUCUUAGUGGCGAACGGGUGAGUAACGCGUAAUCAACCUGCCCUUCAGAGGGGGACAACAGUUGGAAACGACUGCUAAUACCGCAUACGAUCUAAUCUCGGCAUCGAGGAUGGAUGGAAGGUGGCCUCUACAUGUAAGCUAUCACUGAAGGAGGGGAUUGCGUCUGAUUAGCUAGUUGGAGGGGUAACGGCCCACCAAGGCGAUGAUCAGUAGCCGGUCUGAGAGGAUGAACGGCCACAUUGGGACUGAGACACGGCCCAGACUCCUACGGGAGGCAGCAGUGGGGAAUCUUCCGCAAUGGACGAAAGUCUGACGGAGCAACGCCGCGUGAGUGAUGACGGCCUUCGGGUUGUAAAGCUCUGUUAAUCGGGACGAAAGGCCUUCUUGCGAAUAGUGAGGAGGAUUGACGGUACCGGAAUAGAAAGCCACGGCUAACUACGUG
rnacentral:rRNA from 1 species